UUUAACUGUUUUAAAAUAAUGAGUGCUUUGGUUUAAAUGUUUAGAUCUUUACUUUUUGAUUUCCCAGUUCUGUGUAGACUCAAAACCCAGAGUAAUAGAUGGGGAAUUUGGAUACUGUAGCUCAAGGAAUUCAAUAUAGAAAUCAGAGUGACUUCCUGGAAACAAAGGGCAAUGCCAGUAUUUAUCAAUGAAUUUAUUUGCCACUGCAUGAUGGUAUUCAUUAUAUCCUUGAAACAUACACAUUCCAAAUGUGUUCACUAAGGACAGUUGAAUACAAUCCAAAGAUGAGAAGCAUUAUCAGCUGUGUAAUCACCUGGUUGUGGUAAAUGGUUUAAAGACCAUAUAGUAUAUAGACUAUAAAACAUAUAUAACAAAAGUAAGACAUGCAAAAUAAGUAUCCAAAAAGUAUAAACAACAACCCAACAAAAAAUUUAGUUACCACUGAUAGGAAAAAUGAUUACUAAUAUAUGAAUUAAUAGAACAGAUAAAUAGAAUCCACUUUGGUUAUAAUUUUUUAUUCGUUUGCCUAAGUCACUAAGUCAUUAGAGCUUGUCACUGAAAGAAAAUGUGAUCAAAUUUGAAGAAAAGUUUAAAUUUCACAUAUCCUGAAUUGCUCAGCAAAGCCUAUACUCAAUACAUAAAACCCUAAUAUUAGAGUAUAUACCAAUUAUUUGUUUGAACUUUUGUGUAUAUUAACCCCUGUUAUAGGUGUUUGUUUGUUUUGUUUUAUAGAGAAUUAUACUCAGAAAUCUAUAAGGUAAAGAUAUUUCCAAAAUAUGUUUCUUUCCUUUCUGACUUAACAAUAUCACAAGAAUAUCGCCGAAUCCUAUAUAUGUAUCCCAGUGCAUUAUUUCUCAUUUUUUCUUUUAAAAAACAGUUCUUUUUAAAAUCAGAUUCUCUAUGUAAAUUUACCAUUGAUUUUUCUUAGUUCCAUAAUCAUCAGAAGUCUUGAAAAGCUAAAAAAAAAGUUUUGCAAAGCUAUUUUAUGAUAAAUAAGAUCAUUGCAAUGAUGUUAAUCAUCAUUAGAAGUAGUGUUUUACAUUACACAAAUUACAUGGGUGUUACAACGUGCCUUGGGUUUCUUUCCCAAUGACUUCCAAGAAGAAAUUAGAGAAAGAGCAUGAGCACUGGGUGUUACGCUAUAUGUUGGCAAAUUGAACUCCAAUAAAAAAAAUAUUAAAAAAAAAAGAGAAAGAGCUUAUUGCUAUACAGAUUUAAAUAUCCUGGAAUAUACUAUAUCUUUGUUUUAGAUAAGAAGCUGUAACCAUAGUUAAAUUGCAAUUAAUUAUUCAGUCACUGCUUAUCCAUUUUAUGGAUUAUCUAAGUCCUUUGUUUUUCCGGUCAUUAAUUCAUCUCUUUUGGUAGAUGGGGAAGGAAUGAAUAGCUGGAGGUCAAACUAGCCUUGGAUACAUCUUGGUUUGGGAGUAAGUUAAAGCUGUUAGCCAAGAGGAAGUUUGAAAUGAUCUCCGGUAAGUUUUGUAAAUCAGAAGUCUGACACAGGUCUCAUUGAGUUGAAAUCAAGGUAUGAGCAAGUCUGCAUUCUUUUCUGGAGUUUGCAGGCACGUGCUAACAGCCUGGCUCUGCAAGCAUCUGGCUGGCACUAGAGCAACCCUAAGAGAGACAGAAGGACCUGCUCUUCAUCAUCUUUUCAGAAAGGAUUUCAACUCUCUGGAGCUUGGCUGGAAGUCAUGUCUUUUCUUCAUCAUUUUCUAAUAUCAGUUACCAGUGAAUUGUGAACUUCCAUUCAAAGUGGUCCUGACCUUUGCUUCAUUGGUGAACAGGAGCCACUCCUCCACAUCUUUCCACCUGGACCCAGGCUUUUGAAGGCUCUGGCAAUUUAUAGCUGCACAACCUGGAACACAUGUCACUGACUCUUGAAUGCUUUACCCUAGGAGUGAGAAUUGUUACUUCUGCUUUGAGGCCAUUGGUCAGCACUAGUCCUCCGGCCUCACCAAACUGGAAAGGGGCUAAGAAAUAUAGUGGAGCACACAGUACACAAUAUUGUUUCAUUUUAAAGUCAUACAGUGAAAGAUUUCAUCAAGUCCUUCAUGUCCUGUUUUGCUACAACAAAUACGGUCAAGCUUAGUGUCACCAAAAUGCUUUUUCAGAACAAGAAUAUGUGGACAUUUUUUCUAGAGUGAUGUAACAGAAAUGACUAUGGUGGAAGAGAGGUGGUGUACUAACCACUUUCAUGUGGGUGAAAGUGGGUGGCUCAGUCUGUUAAGCAUCUGACUUUUGCUCAGGUCAUGAUCUCAGGGUCCUGGGAUAGAACCCUUUGUGGGGCUCCCUGCUGAGCAGGGAGUCUGCUUCUUCCUCUGCCCAUACUUAUGCUCUCUCUCUCAAAUCAAUCAAUCAAUCACCAAUCAAUCUUUAAGAUAAAAAAGAUGUAGUCCCCAUUGAAUUCUACUGAAGAACUCCUAGUUUUAAAUUUUUUAAGUUGUUUAUGUAGAUCAGUAUUUCUUAAUCUUUUUUCAAUGUCUCCACCAAAGAGCUUUUUCAGACAUUUGUUUACCUAAACAAUCUCCUCAUGAGAUAUCCUACUAUAGAUAAACUAGAUCUGUUUAUGUAUCAUAUAUAUAUCUGAGCUUUACAUAUAAGAACACCAAGGCUUUUUUGUCCCCCAAGAACCAAUUUUCACAAUCUUGAAGGUGAUAUCACUACUCGCCCCCACCAUAACCAUAAGAAUGCAUGGUCUAAAUUUAACAGAAUAGAAUUGAAACAUGACCUAUACUCUAGCAUUUAUGUAACUGAUUAUGUGUAUUUUUACAUGAUUCUAUCAUAUUUUCCAUAGUUGUUUCCCAUGUGCCAUUAGGAGUCAUAUGCUGCCACCCUCAUUUUCCAUAUUUCUCCACCAAUACUAUGAAGGUGGCAUAACUUAGUGAUUCAGAACACAGGCUCUGAAAUUAAACAGCAUACUUUGAAAUCCUACUAUCCUCACUAGGAAGAUCUCAGAUCUUUGACCCUAUAGACCUGAGGUUUGCUUUUGUUUUUGUCUUCUUUUUUAAACCUAUAAAUGCACCUUAGUAGAACCUAUGUUAUAGCAUUAUUGGAAUAAUGGGAGUCAAUGUUUUUUCAUAUUGGCUAAAAUGUAGCUUGUGGUAAAUGUUUUAACAAAGAUGUUCUCAUGCUCUGUAGGCCUAUUUCGUUGUCUCCAAAUCCCAGAAGUUUUUAGUGGAAAGAAAAGAAGGUGAAGCUAAAAUUUCUCUGUCAUGUGUCUUAAUCCUAUUUCACCAAAGGCCGUAAUCCUUAUUUUAUGGCUGGCAGUGCUGCCUUCCUGGCUUCAGAUCCCAGGGUCACUUAGGCCUGUCCGUAUUAGGUUAUGAACAAGGAACCAAAGAAAUCCCUUUGGUUUGGGAAAGUCACUGAUUUGUGGGAGAUUAAAUGCUUUCUUUGAUAUUUUGGCUCAACUGCCCUAAUAGUAUUAAGAAUGAAGGUCAGGACUCUCACUCAGAUUUUAAAGUAACAGCCUCCAGCAAAAGUAACAGCUGAGAGAGGAAAGGGUUGUAGUUUUUCAAAAGCUAUGCAUGAGACCCAUCUAUGAGGGAGAGUGGAAAGAACACUAACUGGGCUUGAAAUUUAGAGUUCUAACUUCAUUUAUUUUAGUUUAAAGAUUUUAUUUAUUUAUUUAUGAGACACACACAGAGAGAGAGGCAGAGACACAGGCAGAGGGAGAAGCAGGCUCCAUACAGGGAGGCCGACGUAGGAUUCCAUCCCGGGUCUCCAGGAUCAUGCCCUGGGUUGAAGGCGGCGCUAAACCGCUGAGCCACCCAGGCUGCUUUAGAGUUCAAACUUUAAAUCAUAGGAACACUAUUGACUCAUUAAGGAUACUUGGACCAAUAAUUUAUUCCUAUUGAGCCUUGGUUUCCUCAUCUAUAAAAUGUGGAUUAUAGUGUCUACCUCACUGAAAAAUUUUGUUGAGCUGAAAUGAAUUAGAAUUAAUGUAUUGAUGAGAAUACUCAGUAGAGACCAAGACUAUAUGCAAAUGUGAAAGAUUAUUAUCUCCACCUACUUUCACCCAUACUUUGGUCUAAUUGUUCUAAUUACUGUGAAAGCAGGGAUGAUUUUCUGAUUACAAAUCUUUCAUCUAUUUAUCUGUCCCAUAUCAUGACCCCAUCUAAUUAGAAAAGGUAGUGCUAUUGAAUUGUAAUAUGAAUACUUGAAGUCCGGACAUUAAUUAUUAAAUGUCUGAGAACCUCCCCAAAAGCACUAAAUCUACCAUUUUCCCCAUAAUUUCUGCCAAGUACAUUUAAGACUAGAUGGAUUUGAAUGGCCAGAAAUCCACACCUGUGUUCUCUUUUCCUUUACUUCUUAGCUAAUGGGAUGAAUAUCUGUUAAAAAGAACCUAUCUCCGUAUCUUGGCCUGUUUCUAGUUGUCUCUAUAAAUGACAUUAUAGGAAGGGAUAUAAAUUGGGGACUUUUGAUGUUGGGCAUGAAGCAUCCUUUGGGCAGAUGCUAAAGAUAAAUACUAUGUGUUCACACACACAAGAUGGAAUCAGGAUAAAGGGCACAAGUGGCAUGUGCAGAUCAGCUCAUCUGGAAAGUUUCCUUCCAUCCUCCUUAUACCUCUUCCCGUAACAUGCCUGUGAACAAGAAAAGAUUGGUCAUAGGGGCUCAAGAGGUUAUUGUAAUUUGAGAUCUUAGGAAAAUCUCUCAGAAUGGAGUAUGGAAGGAAUAUUGGUUACUCCAAUGAUGUGUUUUGUCCCACAAGGAAUAUAACAAACCCCUGAGCAUGUGCCAACAAACCUCUUUAGGAUCCAGGUGAUGAAGGACUAGGGAGCUUGGAUGGGACUCUGUUUAGCUGGUGAAAGUGUAGUAGACUUCCAAAUCUCUGCUAUAUAAUAUAUUCCUCUCUGUAGUAGCAGGAAAAUUUGAGCUGCUUUGCAUGAAUAUUAAGAAAAUGAAUGCAACUCAGAAUAUAACAUUAGUAUUUUGAAAAUAUACAGUGUCAAGUUUUACAACAAUCUACUUCUUUUUUACCCAUGACCUGUAAGUUGAUAUUGGUACCUUCCUCUUUCUCUGUCAUCUUCUCCUGCCAGUCUCUUAUCUUUUUCCAUGUCAGUCUAUUUAUCAGGGCAGAUGCCUGGGACAUAGGAAUUGCAAUUCCACGUACGGGUUUUUUCACUUAGGGAUAAAUCUAUGAAAAAGCCAGAGCAGCACUGGUUCAGAGUGGCAGAAAAUUGGGGCAUUGGACAUUAAGCACAGAUAUAUUUAAUAAUUUAUACAGAAUUAAUAAGGUACUGGGUUGUUUUUAAAAGCUAUGAUCAAGUGACUGUUACAGAUACUAUUUACAAAAUUGAUACUUCGCUAGAAGACAAACCAAGUUUAGUAACAUAAUUAAAUAGAAAUUAAAUUAAGGAAAGUGCAUAAUCAUAUUCUUAUUAAUAUGUUAACUUUGUAAAGAUUAUUUGCGUAUUGUGGGCAUUGAGCAAGAUAACUAAAACACGUUAAUUAGAUUUCAAGUGAAUUGCCACCAUGUUAAUUCAUAUUUUAUAAGAAUAGUAAUUAAAAUCCAACAUGUUAUAGCUAUAGAAUGGUAUUUUAUUAUAUCCCAUACUAACAUUUCCUUAUAAGUAAUUUUAAAACAUCAGUUUAAUGGAUUAGUAAAAGUGCAAUAGUGUAACUGGGCAUUUAUUUUUAAUAGAAUCCAUAUUAUGAAGUGAAUUUUUAUUAUUCUUAAAGUCAUUCACAGAACAAUUUUAAUGAUAUAAUACUUACAUUCUAUCAGGGAUUCUUUUGUAGCG